rnacentral:rRNA from 1 species
GACGAACGCUGGCGGCGUGCUUAACACAUGCAAGUCGAACGGAAAGACCCUGCGUUUGUUGGUCGCUCGAGUGGCGAACGCGGGAGUAACACGCGAGUAACCCGCCCCUGUCUUUCGGAUAACUUCACGGAACUGGGGCUAAUACCGGGUAUGAUCUCCUGCUGCAUGGUGUGUGUUGGUAAAUUUCGGCGUUGGGGGAUGGAUUCGCGGCUUAUGAGCUUCUUGGGGUGGUAGUGGCUUACCAAGGCUGUGACGGGUAGCCUGCAUGAGAGGGUGACCAGGCACAAGGGGCCUGAGGUACGGAGCAGACGCCUACGGGAGGCAGUAGUGGGGAAUAUUGCGCAACGGGCGGAAGCCUGAUGCAGCGACGCCGCGUGCGGGAUGACGGCUUUCGGGUGGUAAACCGCUUUCGCAUGUGACGAAGCGUUAGUGACGGUACCGGGUAAAGAAGCAACGGCUAACUACGUG